rnacentral:rRNA from 1 species
UACGUAGGGGGCAAGCGUUGUCCGGAUUUAUUGGGCGUAAAGAGCGUGUAGGCGGCUUUACAGGUCCGUUGUGAAAACUCGAGGCUCAACCUCGAGACGCCGGUGGAAACCGUAAAGCUAGAGUCCGGAAGAGGAGAGUGGAAUUCCUGGUGUAGCGGUGAAAUGCGCAGAUAUCAGGAGGAACACCUGCGGCGAAGGCGGGUUGCUGGGCUGACACUGACGCUGAUGCGCGAAAGCUAGGGGAGCAAACGGG